CCCUUAGAUGUUCUGGGCUGCACGCGCGCUACACUGAAGCUAUCAACACGUUUUCCCUCCCUGAGAAGGGCGGGUAACCUUUUGAAUCAGCUUCGUGGUAGGGAUCGGGGCUUGCAAUUGUUCCCCGUGAACCAGGAAUUCCUAGUAGACGCGAGUCAUAAGCUCGCAUCGAUUAAGUCCCUGCCCUUUGUACACACCGCCCGUCGCUACUACCGAUUGAAUGGUUUAGUGAGGACUCCUGAUUGGCGCCGCCGCCCCGGCAACGGAGCAGCGGACUGCCGAAAAGUUGUUCAAACUUGAUCAUUUAGAGGAAGUAAAAGUCGUAACA
rnacentral:rRNA from 1 species